UACCAGCACCCCGAGUGGUCGGGACGUUUUAUUGGGCCUAAAGCAUCCGUAGCCGGUUCUACAAGUCUUCCGUUAAAUCCACCUGCUUAACAGAUGGGCUGCGGAAGAUACUAUAGAGCUAGGAGGCGGGAGAGGCAAGCGGUACUCGAUGGGUAGGGGUAAAAUCCGUUGAUCCAUUGAAGACCACUAGUGGCGAAGGCGGCUUGCCAGAACGCGCUCGACGGUGAGGGAUGAAAGCUGGGGGGAGCAAACCGGG
rnacentral:rRNA from 1 species